UUUUGAUAGUCUAACGACUGCAUUGUUGUGGUUCCUGUAUCAUUAAGUCUGAGUGUCUGGUGGACAUAAUUUUUAUUCAGUGGGGAAAACGGUGAAUUAUUAAAUUCACGUAAUUAACUUUACACAUACUGUCUAAAUCCUUCCAUGUCAAGUCCGUCAUAGCCUGUCCCAGUUUCCCGUAUUAAUUCAUGUUGUCGAUAUAAGAUAUUAGCUUAAGGUGUUGGCGUGUAGUUAGGCUACUUUUCGGCGCGAAGCUACUUCAGCAAGUUAACAAAACGGGAUAUUUUCAGGCUACUUUUCGGCGCGAAGCUACUUCGUGUGCUGCUUUAUACGCUGGAGUGACGGGGAUAGCUGGGUUCCUGGAAGGCCUGGGCAGUAGCUCGGUUACGACAUAAUGAAGACCGCUCGUCCGUCGGGGCUCGUGACGUCACCUGAGCACGGAUCCAUUAAUCUGACGGUUAACACGUGGUACACACAGUGGUGGAUUUGCUUACUAUCAAAGGAAAGACAUGCAGAGGGACAGACGGAUGGACAGAUGGUGGGAUAAAGGUUCAAGGAAAACACCAUCAAAUGGUUGUUAAUGGGACGGUGGAUCCACGGACUCUUCCGGUAGAUGAGAUCCCCCUGAUGGAGUCCAGACGCUGGAGGGGCCGGCUGAUGGAACUCCUUAGCCCUGGAGGACGCCAUCUCGUGAUCUCCAGAUGAGAUUCCCCCCAG